rnacentral:rRNA from 1 species
AACGAACGCUGGCGGCAUGCCUAACACAUGCAAGUCGAACGAGACCUUCGGGUCUAGUGGCGCACGGGUGCGUAACGCGUGGGAACCUGCCCUUAGGUUCGGAAUAACUCCCCGAAAGGGGUGCUAAUACCGGAUAAUGUCUUCGGACCAAAGAUUUAUCGCCUUUGGAUGGGCCCGCGUUGGAUUAGCUAGUUGGUAGGGUAAAAGCCUACCAAGGCGACGAUCCAUAGCUGGUCUGAGAGGAUGAUCAGCCACACUGGGACUGAGACACGGCCCAGACUCCUACGGGAGGCAGCAGUGGGGAAUAUUGGACAAUGGGCGAAAGCCUGAUCCAGCAAUGCCGCGUGAGUGAUGAAGGCCUUAGGGUUGUAAAGCUCUUUUACCCGGGAUGAUAAUGACAGUACCGGGAGAAUAAGCUGGCUAACUCCGUG